rnacentral:sRNA from 1 species
GAGCGGUGAGCGAUCGAUACUCCUAUGCUAGCCUCUGGCUCCUCAGGGGAGACAGCCGAGUGGUCGGACCAAACGCAACGAGUCCUCGCCAGCCCAAAGGCGACUCGACACCGUCCCAGCUGAAGAGAGGCACGGGACUGAACCAGCUGGUGGUGGCCCGAUGGCUGGAGACACCCACUGCCCCGCAGAGCCCCUGGCCAGAGAAGGCACUUUAUGGGAGGCCCUCAGGGCGCUCCUGCCGCACAGUAAAGAAGACCUGAAGUUGGACCUUGGGGAGAAAGUGGAGAGGAGCGUGGUGACGUUGUUGCAGCGAGCCACUGAGCUCUUCUACGAGGGCAGGAGGGACGAGUGUCUGCAGAGCAGCGAGGUGAUCCUGGACUACUCCUGGGAGAAGCUCAACACGGGCCUGCCCAUGGCUCCAUCCCAGAGCAACCCUGCACAAAGGCAGUGCCCUUUAAGCAGAGAGGCAGCAGAGAAACUUUGUGGUUCCUGAGGGAAACAGCUUAAAGCGAUUAUGUGGGUGAGAGCUGCAGCCAGUGGCAGCCCGUUUCUUUCAGCUUCUUGGUGGGCUUGCUGAAGUCUCACCCAGGCGAGGCGAUACCUCUGGCUGCUCCUGUCUCUGUGCUCCUGGGUUUGGAUGAGAUACUACAACUAGCUGAUGUCUGUUUUGGGAUCAAUCUCUCCCACCCCUUGGGUCUAUGUGCCUGUUCCAAAGAGCACCCCCAGGAACAGAGCAUGGUUUACUCUGAAGGCUUCAGGUCCUGGUGCCGACACACAGGCCUCACUUACAACACACCCAAGCAAGUCACUUAACCUCCUUUGAGCCUCGGUUUCCUUGUCUGUAGAGUGGCAGAGUACCGACCCACAGAAAGAAAUGACUAAGACUGUACUAGACGCUCGGUAGUGGAAUUAUGGGAUGCUUCUGACAUUUUUCUAAAUGCUUUGCUAUGUUUUCCGAAUUUCCUACAAUGCAUAUUAUUAUUAUUAUUAUUUUUGAGAUGGAGUCUCACUCUG